rnacentral:rRNA from 1 species
UACGAAGGGGCUAGCGUUGCUCGGAAUCACUGGGCGUAAAGCGCACGUAGGCGGACUUUUAAGUCGGAGGUGAAAUCCUGGAGCUCAACUCCAGAACUGCCUUCGAUACUGGCGAUCUCGAGUUCGGGAGAGGUGAGUGGAACUGCGAGUGUAGAGGUGAAAUUCGUAGAUAUUCGCAAGAACACCAGUGGCGAAGGCGGCUCACUGGCCCGAUACUGACGCUGACGGUGACGAAAGCGUGGGGAGCAAACAGG